GAAAAAGAUGCAACAUAUUUUGCCUGAGCGGUAUUGCUGUAGUAUGAUGAUGUCAUCAGCAGGCGCAAGCCCCCAAGCAGAUCUGGAAAGUACAGCGUCUGACAACAACAAUUGGCAUUGCAUUCUCUUAUGGAAUUACCUGAAGGAGCAUCAGAGUCUGAGGAGUCACGCCAAGGCCGCAUUCUUUCUGCCCCACGGAGCUUAAUUCUGGAGGCAGAACCGGGUUUCCAUGGAGAGAGCGCCAGCACCCACAACCGAUCCCUGCAGUAAACAACCGAUUCAUGUGCGGAGCUGCAGGAGUUUCCCAGAGCCCUUCCAAAAAGUUUAAUAAUCAGUAAAAAAAAUGAACACAGUUUCCUCUCCUCAAGCUUUCGUCCCGCUCUGCUGCAUCUUCGUUUCUCCAUAACGCUGGAGGCAGAGCCGACGUAUCCCGAGGAGAAGUGUGCUGCAGUAAGAGAGCUAGCGUUAGCUGCGCCCACCUUAAGGGCAAUAAAACACGCACAGAGACUAAAAGAGUAACGAAGUGAGAGCCGCUGUUACUGGCUGCAGCACACCGAUGCAAUCUUUCCUUUUUCGUACUUUGGAGUUCUUCACAGUAGCAAUCCACCACAAAUAAACCUACGGAAAAUAACAUUCUACAUCCUGGGUGUUUCUCAACCCAUGCCAACGAACCUUGCCUUGAUGUCUUAGCCCCGCCCCGGUUGCCUAGGAGAUACGUCAUCAGGAGCCGCCAAGAUGUGUUCCAAUAUUCACCUUCAACCGAGGCGUGUGUUCUCCGUUUGUUAGCCGUUUAGCUAGCUGAGCGAGGAUACACGGGAGGUGUCUUGUAGCCUAGCCUUGGUCAAAAAUUACCCAGAAUACACCGCAGCAUUUUCAUAUGUAAAAGUAAGUCAGCUAAUUUUAAAUAUUUUUUUAGAUCCAAAGAAGUUAUCUAUGGUUGGUUAGUCGCUUAGUAGUUGCAGCUUCAGUGGCUAGCGGGUAGUAACUCACUUAUAUGUUUAAUUUAAUAAACAUAUACACAAUUUAAAAAGUAAAAGUCUCGUUAUAUAUUUAUAUUGAAACUAAUACGUAUAAAAUAUAACGUUAUCGCCCGUGUCAUGUGACGUUACAUGACCGCCGUGGAAGCCGCGGCCACGUGAUGCAAGUCUGUUCCAUUUCCAUUUUCUUACACAAAGGAAGGGCAGUGUCCUUGUAAGCAAGGUGCCUGGCUUUACAAGACAUUGCGUCAUCCUUCAGGUCUCUUUUAUGUCCUUUAGGAC